AAUUGAAAAAAAUGUUUUAUUUACAAGAAAAAGUCUGUACACUGUGUAUACAUAAAAAUAUACAAAACCAAAAUAGAAAAUAUCAAAACCUUAAAAUGUGUACAAACACCUUUAAAAUGCAACCCCUGGAAACCUCAAGCCAUAGUUUGAAGAGCACACAUUUCAUUUAAAAAUUGUCAUACAAAAGAAAGUCCCAAUGCUGUUAAAAAAGUUCACUGGUUUCUACCAGAAAAGUUUUCUAAGUAUUUUUUUUUAAUCUAGGAUAAACAGAAUGUGUGAUAUUAUAUUAUGUCUUAAUGCUACCAGUACAGUUAAUUUGCUUGAAACGUACCUAAUGAGAAGAUGCUUUUCUGUAGAACCAAUCAAUGUUUCUUCCCUGAAUCUUGUGAAAGUCAUGAGUUGUCAACUUCUCAUCAAACUUCAGAGUGACAUUAAGCUGUCUUCAUGUCAUGGGUUCACCUUCACAGUGAUGUUUAAAUAUGUUCACUAUACUGAGUGUAUGGAAGACUAAUUUUUUUAAACAGAAGGACAAAUAACAUUUGUUUCCUUCUCUUAAAAACUGGUUGUUUGCAUAAUUAAAAUAGGAUUAUUACAAAGAUUUAAGAAAUAAAGUUUGAUGAAAAAAGACAAUUUAAAUCCAACCAUGUGUGUAGAUAUGUAUAUAUACAAUUAUAUAACUAUAUCCAUAUGCACACUUUUAUAACAAGAAUGAGAACUAAUUCUUUAAAUUCCACCGGCCCAAACUUGUAGAGGAAUAUGCUGUAUUAUAUUUUCUUACUAAAAAGCUUCACCCGUUCAAUAAAACAAGAACCAGCACUUACAUUUUAUCCUUGAAUUGACAGAAAUACCUUUCAUUUCCCAAUUUUGUAAAGUCCUAGUGACAGAAAAUAUGCAGAAUAUUUUUCACAAUGGAAAUAUCCAGAGUACAAAAAAAUUUUAAACUCAGGCACAUUUUAUGCAAGCAAUUCAUUUCUAAAUGUAUCUGCCUUUACAAGCUGUGCAACCACUGGAUAGAGUUCUAGACUAUCAGAAUGUGAGAAGUCACAUAGAUAGUGUUGUAGAGUAUAUGCAGAGGCUAUUGGCCUAUAUAUUCAGUCAUGUAUUUCUCCAUAAUCCUCCCACCUCCUUCUCCCAUUUCUUUUCAUAGCUAAGCAGAAGUGAGCCAGGUGACUUUGGCCAUCAGUCCAAACAUGCUCUGUGCCAUGUGUUUCCGGAGACCUGAAUCUAGUUAUCUGUGCAGACAUCACAUACCAUGACGCAUGUGAAGCUGACCCCACCUACAUCAAAAUUCUCCCAUCACAUACCAUGGCACAUGUGAGAUUGACCCCACCUAAGGUGCCCAAUGGGACCUGGUUAAUUCAGUGACGGAAGUGCUGCCACCAAAAAGGGUUAUUUCUUGAGAAAAGCAGCCCCGUACUGACUGAGGGGAGGGUCACGCUCACAGGGCCAGCACUGCCUUCCAUGGGGACAGUGAGAACACUCCACCUGGUACACCUUACCCUCACACCUGGACGGACUGGUGAAAGGAGUUAGGGAGAAUCUAGAUGAACGUAAGCUGUCAUCCUUUGCCAACAGUUAUUUCUUUGUGAUUACAACAA